rnacentral:rRNA from 1 species
AUUGAACGCUGGCGGCAGGCCUAACACAUGCAAGUCGAGCGGAGCGGCGGACGGGUGAGUAAUGCCUAGGAAUCUGCCUGGUAGUGGGGGAUAACGUCCGGAAACGGGACCUAAUACCGCAUACUAUCAGAUGAGCCUAGGUCGGAGUAGCUAGUUGGGGGGGUAAAGGCCUACCAGGGCGACGAGCCGUAACUGGGCUGAGAGGAUGAUCAGUCACACUGGGACUGAGACACGGUCCAGACUCCUACGGGAGGCAGCAGUGGGGAAUAUUGGGCAAUGGGCGAAAGCCUGAGCCAGCCAUGCCGCGGGAGUGAAGAAGGUUUUCGGAUUGUAAAGCACUUUAAGUAGGGAGGCGUUACCAACAGAAUAAGCACCGGCUAACUUCGUGCCAGCAGCCGCGGUAAUUC